rnacentral:rRNA from 1 species
AGACGUCUACAUUAGAUACCCGGGUAGUCCCAGCCGUAAACUAUGCGCGUUAGGUGUGUCGGUAACCACGUGUUACUGAUGCGCCGAAGAGAAAUCGUGAAACGCACCACCUGGGAAGUACGGUCGCAAGGCUGAAACUUAAAGGAAUUGGCGGGGGAGCACCACAACAGGUGGAGCCUGCGGUUUAAUUGGAUUCAACGCCGGACAUCUCACCGGAUAAGACAGCUGAAUGAUUGUCAAUCUGAAGGUUUUACAUGACUAGCUG